rnacentral:miRNA from 1 species
CGGAGCUCACGCCAGUGCAACA